UACGUAGGGGGCAAGCGUUGUCCGGAAUCAUUGGGCGUAAAGCGCGUGUAGGCGGUUUGGUAAGUCCGCUCUGAAAGUCCGGGGCUCAACCCCGGGAGGCGGGUGGAUACUGUCAGACUAGAGUGCGGAAGAGGCGAGUGGAAUUCCCGGUGUAGCGGUGAAAUGCGCAGAUAUCGGGAGGAACACCAAUUGCGAAGGCAGCUCGCUGGGACGUGACUGACGCUGAGACGGCGAAAGCGUGGGGAGCAAACAGG
rnacentral:rRNA from 1 species